rnacentral:rRNA from 1 species
GCAAGUCGAGCGGCAAGUCGAGGAGUAAUCUGAGACCUAGAGCGGCGUACGGGUGCGUAACGCGUAUGCAACCUACCUCAUACAGGGGGAUAGCCCGGAGAAAUCUGGAUUAAUACCCCAUGGCACAGCACAAGGGCAUCUGCGAGCUGUUAAAGAUUCAUCGGUAUGAGAUGGGCAUGCGUCUGAUUAGCUAGUUGGCGGUGUAACGGACCACCAAGGCGACGAUCAGUAGGGGUUCUGAGAGGAAGGUCCCCCACACUGGCACUGAGAUACGGGCCAGACUCCUACGGGAGGCAGCAGUAGGGAAUAUUGGGCAAUGGACGAGAGUCUGACCCAGCCAUGCCGCGUGCAGGAAGACGGCGUUCUGCGUUGUAAACUGCUUUUAUCUGGGAAGAAAAGGCCCGUGCGCGGGACAUUGCCGGUACCAGAUGAAUAAGCACCGGCUAACUCCGUGCCAGCAGCCGCGGUAAUACGGAGGGUGCAAGCGUUGUCCGGAUUUAUUGGGUUUAAAGGGUGCGUAGGCGGCUGUUUAAGUCAGUGGUGAAAGACUCCGGCUCAACCGGAGCAGUGCCAUUGAUACUGGGCAGCUUGAGUGUUGGAGGGGUACAUGGAAUUGAUGGUGUUGCGGUGAAAUGCAUAGAUACCAUCAGGAACACCGAUAGCGAAGGCAUUGUACUGGCCAACACUGACGCUGAGGCCGAAGCAUGGGGAGCGACAGGAUAGAUACCUGGUAUCAUGCGUAACGAGAUACUCCUGUAUG